CGUUGAUAGGCUGAGUGUGUAAGCGUAGCGAUACGUUGAGCUAACCAGUACUAAUGAACCGUGAGGCUUAACCUGACAACACCGAAAGUGUUUUG
rnacentral:rRNA from 1 species